rnacentral:tRNA from 1 species
GAGAUUAUAGUUAAUUAUAACAUUUAAUUUGCAAUUAAAAAUUAUCAAAAGAUUAUUCUCA